rnacentral:miRNA from 1 species
CUUAAAAUAUUUUUGAGCCGGGCGGUGGUGGCACACACCUUUAAUCCCAGCACUGGGGAGGCAGAGGCAGGUGGAUCUCUG